AGUGAACGCUGGCGGUAGGCCUAACACAUGCAAGUCGAACGGCAGCACAGUAAGAGCUUGCUCUUACGGGUGGCGAGUGGCGGACGGGUGAGGAAUACAUCGGAAUCUACUUUUUCGUGGGGGAUAACGUAGGGACACUUACGCUAAUACCGCAUACGACCUACGGGUGAAAGCAGGGGAUCUUCGGACCUUGCGCGAUUGAAUGAGCCGAUGUCGGAUUAGCUAGUUGGCGGGGUAAAGGCCCACCAAGGCGACGAUCCGUAGCUGGUCUGAGAGGAUGAUCAGCCACACUGGAACUGAGACACGGUCCAGACUCCUACGGGAGGCAGCAGUGGGGAAUAUUGGACAAUGGGCGCAAGCCUGAUCCAGCCAUACCGCGUGGGUGAAGAAGGCCUUCGGGUUGUAAAGCCCUUUUGUUGGGAAAGAAAAACAGCAGGUUAAUACCCCGCUGUUCUGACGGUACCCAAAGAAUAAGCACCGGCUAACUUCGUG
rnacentral:rRNA from 1 species